GAAGAAGGUAACUUUGGAGUUGGCUCUUGUCUAUGUUCCUUGGAACAGGACGUCACAGAGGGUGAGAAUCCCGUGCGAUGAGAUGCCCAAUUCUAUGUAAAGUGCUUUCGAAGAGUCGAGUUGUUUGGGAAUGCAGCUCUAAGUGGGUGGUAAAUUCCAUCUAAAGCUAAAUAUUGGCGAGAGACCGAUAGCGAACAAGUACAGUGAUGGAAAGAUGAAAAGAACUUUGAAAAGAGAGUGAAAAAGUACGUGAAAUUGUUGAAAGGGAAGGGCUUGAGAUCAGACUUGGUAUUUUGCAAGCCUUACCUUCGUGGUGGGGUCCCCUGCAGUUUACUGGGCCAGCAUCGGUUUGGAUGGUAGGAUAAUGACUUGGGAAUGUGACUUUGCUUCGGUAAAGUGUUAUAGCCCUUGUUGAUACUGCCUGUCUAGACCGAGGACUGCGUCUUUGACUAGGAUGCUGGCAUAAUGAUCUUAAGUCGCCCGUCUUGAA
rnacentral:rRNA from 1 species